GCAGUAACACGUAGUCAACAUAACCAAAGGACGUGGAUAAACUCGGGAAACUGAGGCUAAACCGCGAUAGUUCAAGAUACCUGGAAUGGUUUUUGAUCAAAAUCUAUAUGGCCUUUGGAUUGGACUGCGUCCGAUCAGGCUGUUGGUGAGGUAGAAUGGCCCACCAAACCUAUAACCGGUACGGGCUCUGAGAGGAGGAGCCCGGAGAUGGGUACUGAGAUAAGGACCCAGGCCCUAUGGGGCGCAGCAGGCGCGAAACCUCUGCAAUAGGCGAAAGCUUGACAGGGUUACUCUGAGUGACUUUCGUUAAGAAAGUCUUUUGACACCUCUAAAAAUGGUGUAGAAUAAGGGGUGGGCAAGUCUGGUGCCAGCAGCCG
rnacentral:rRNA from 1 species